UACGUAGGGGGCGAGCGUUGUCCGGAUUUAUUGGGCGUAAAGAGCUCGUAGGCGGCUUGGCAAGUCGGGUGUGAAACCUCCAGGCUCAACCUGGAGACGCCACUCGAUACUGCUAUGGCUAGAGUCCGGUAGGGGACCACGGAAUUCCUGGUGUAGCGGUGAAAUGCGCAGAUAUCAGGAGGAACACCAACGGCGAAGGCAGCUCGCUGGGACGGUACUGACGCUGAGGCGCGAAAGCGUGGGGAGCGAACAGG
rnacentral:rRNA from 1 species